UCUUUAUAGCAGUGUAAGAACAGACUAAUACACCGAUUAUUAAGAACUUGUAUUAGCAUAGUACAUUUGUCAUAACUAGUGAACCAAUAUUGAUGCAUUCUCAUUAACUGAAGUCUGUGCUUUAUGCACAUGUCCUCAGUUAUUUUCUAAUGCCCUUUUUCUGUUCCAGGAUCCCACACUGCAUUUAGUCAUCAUGUCUCCUUAGGCUUCUCGUGGCUGUGAGUUCCUUUGUUUUUGACAGCCUUGACAGUGCUGAGGAGUACAGCUAAGGUGUUUGGUAGAAUAGUCUUCAAUUGUGAAUCGUCCAAUCUUUUUCUCAUGAUGACACUGAGGUUAUGGAUUUUGGGGAAGGAGACCAUUGAAGUAAAGUGCCAUUUUUAUCACACCCUAUCAAAGGUAGUCCAUUUUCUUAGUCCAUUUUGUGCCACUGUAACAAAAUACUACAGCCUGGGUAAUAUGUAAUGUACAGAAAUUUAUUUCUCACCUUUCUGAAGGCUGGGAAGUCCAAGAUUGAGGGGCCGACAAGAACCUUCUUGCUGUGUCAUCCUGUGGCAGAAGGGCAAAGAGAAGAUGAGAGAAAGUGCAAGAAAAAUCAAACUCAUCCUUUUAUACGUUGACAUAUAAGGAAAGAGUGGCAGAGAAAGGUCAGGUGGUUGUUACAAGAUCCCAAGGACACCUAAUGGAGCUGCCAGAGAGGACCUCAGAGCUACCUGACAG
rnacentral:lncRNA from 1 species